rnacentral:rRNA from 1 species
UGGGGAAUCUUGCACAAUGGAGGAAACUCUGAUGCAGCGACGCCGCGUGAGCGAAGAAGCCUUUCGGGGUGUAAAGCUCUUACGCCAGGGACGAUAAUGACGGUACCUGGAGAAGCAGCUGCGGCUAACUACGUGCCAGCAGCCGCGGUAAUACGUAGGCAGCAAGCGUUGUUCGGAAUUACUGGGCGUAAAGGGUGCGUAGGCGGCGCUCUAAGUUUGGUGUGAAAUCUCCCGGCUUAACUGGGAGGGUGCACUGAAAACUGGGGCGCUCGAGUAUGGGAGAGGAAAGCGGAAUUCCUGGUGUAGCGGUGAAAUGCGUAGAGAUCAGGAGGAACACCUGCGGUGCAGACGGCUUUCUGAACCAUCACUGACGCUGAGGCACGAAAGCGUGGGUAGCAAACA